CGGGCGUGGUUUUACAACGUUUUCAGAUUUGAAGAAAAUGUCGGGAAAUAUGCAGCCGAAAUCCGAGGAGAGCAGAUACAAAUUAUGACACAAUCUUCAGUAUUGUACUUUGGAAAGAUAAUAAUCUACACCAGCAAUCUGCGGAUCAUCCGGGCCUAUCAGAGUGAAGGAAGGACAUGGAGACAUCCUCAGCUCCCUGGGGGAAUGGGCGAGUACUCACAGGGAGGCCCAAAGCCCUCUGUGCUCACAGGGAGGGGCAGAGCACCGAUCGACCGGACAAGCAAUAUACUGCAUCCAGCUGCCAGCAUUGUGGAGGUUCGGACUGUCCCCUGCUCUUUGUGCCAUGGCAGCUGUCCAUACUGGCCAACCACUUCAACGAGUCUAUCAGUGUGCUGUGAUGCCAGUCCUGCUACACUGAUGGACUGGAGAGGUGCCAGUCCUGUACCAAAUGACACUAACCACUGGCUGUGUGUGCCAAUGGUACUGCUGCAAUGAGAUAAUAUCACUGUAAUACAAAAUGCUUAUGAUGGGUAUGGGAGCACUGUGUAUGUUUUUGUAAGGAAUCAGAAUUCAAUUUUUGGAAAGGAAGGAUCCUACCAUACAUGCAGCCGGCUGAAUUAUAGAGAACAAUUAGUGUGUGCAGUGAAUAUUGCAUAUGAUAAGACAACAUAUUCACUCUUUUGGUGGUAGCUGGUGCAUCUGAGUCCCUACAAAAAUAACAUGCACCUCCAACUGGUUUCUUCAUGACAACAUGUCAUUUUAAGAAAAAUAUUGUAAAACCAUUGCAUUUUAUUUUAUCCACAAGGCAAGCUGUCCUAUCAUCCCCACAUUGAGAGAAAACUGCUUUUUAUCUCCCAUGUUAAGGUAAUUGAUGCUUUCAUUUUCACUAAGCUUAAUAAUGAGAGAGCGGGAGAAACUGACGGUAAUAAAUGGUGAUGGAGAGGCUUUUGGUCAGCUCUGGAGGUAGAAAGAAAUUAAUUUGUUUAUUGUCGUCCUAAUUCUGAGGUAAUUGCUUCCAGAGUUGUCUUGGGUGAAAAUGUAUAGAAUGGACUCGUGCCUUAUUUUAAUUGGCUCAUAUUAGUCAAUUAAAUAAUCAAUUUAAGUU